CCUACGGGGUGCAGCAGUGAGGAAUAUUGGUCAAUGGGCGUACGCCUGAACCAGCCAAGCCGCGUGAGGGAAGACUGCCCUAUGGGUUGUAAACCUCUUUUGUCAGGGAGCAAUUGGCGCUACGUGUAGCGUUAUCGAGAGUACCUGAAGAAAAAGCCUCGGCUAACUCCGUGCCAGCAGCGGCGGUAAUAGGGAGGAUGCGAGCGUGAUCCGGAUUUAUUGGGUUAAAGGGGUGCGAAGGGGGAAUGCCAAGUCAGCGGGAAAAUCGCGGGGCUCAACCUCGCUCCGCCGUUGAAACUGGCGGUCUUGAGUGGGCGAGAAGUAUGCGGAAUGCGUGGUGUAGCGGUGAAAUGCAUAGAUAUCACGCAGAACUCCGAUUGCGAAGGCAGCAUACCGGAGCCCAACUGACGCUGAAGCACGAAAGCGUGGGUAUCGAACAGGAUUAGAUACCCUUGUAGUC
rnacentral:rRNA from 1 species